AUUGAACGCUGGCGGCAUGCCUUACACAUGCAAGUCGAACGGCAGCACGGGAGCAAUCCUGGUGGCGAGUGGCGAACGGGUGAGUAAUAUAUCGGAACGUGCCCAGUCGUGGGGGAUAACGUAGCGAAAGCUACGCUAAUACCGCAUACGAUCUACGGAUGAAAGCGGGGGAUCGCAAGACCUCGCGCGAUUGGAGCGGCCGAUAUCAGAUUAGGUUGUUGGUGGGGUAAAAGCUCACCAAGCCGACGAUCUGUAGCUGGUCUGAGAGGACGACCAGCCACACUGGAACUGAGACACGGUCCAGACUCCUACGGGAGGCAGCAGUGGGGAAUUUUGGACAAUGGGCGCAAGCCUGAUCCAGCAAUGCCGCGUGCAGGAUGAAGGCCUUCGGGUUGUAAACUGCUUUUGUACGGAACGAAACGGCUCUUU
rnacentral:rRNA from 1 species